AGUGAACGCUGGCGGUAGGCCUAACACAUGCAAGUCGAACGGCAGCACAGUAAGAGCUUGCUCUUACGGGUGGCGAGUGGCGGACGGGUGAGGAAUACAUCGGAAUCUACUUUUUCGUGGGGGAUAACGUAGGGAAACUUACGCUAAUACCGCAUACGACCUACGGGUGAAAGCAGGGGAUCUUCGGACCUUGCGCGAUUGAAUGAGCCGAUGUCGGAUUAGCUAGUUGGCGGGGUAAAGGCCCACCAAGGCGACGAUCCGUAGCUGGUCUGAGAGGAUGAUCAGCCACACUGGAACUGAGAAACGGCCCAGACUCCUACGGGAGGCAGCAGUGGGGAAUAUUGGACAAUGGGCGAAAGCCUGAUCCAGCCAUACCGCGUGGGUGAAGAAGGCCUUCGGGUUGUAAAGCCCUUUUGUUGGGAAAGAAAAGCAGCAGGUUAAGACCCCGCUGUUCUGACGGUACCCAAAGAAUAAGCACCGGCUAACUUCGU
rnacentral:rRNA from 1 species